rnacentral:rRNA from 1 species
UACGGAAGGGGCGAGCGUUGUUCGGAAUCAUUGGGCGUAAAGGGCGCGUAGGCGGUUCUGUAUGUCUGCCGUGAAAGGGUACAGCUUAACUGUAGCUUGUCGGUAGAAACUGCAGGACUUGAGGCUGGGAGGGGCUGGUGGAAUUCCCUGUGUAGCGGUGAAAUGCGUAGAGAUGGGGGAGAACACUCGUGGCGAAGGCGGCCAGCUAGACCAGUUCUGACACUGAGGCGCGACAGCGUGGGGAGCAAACAGG